rnacentral:tRNA from 1 species
CUUUCACUAGGUGUUGACCAUAAGUCUUUUUCGUGUACUUUGGGUGUGAGUAGGC